rnacentral:rRNA from 1 species
AGAGUUUGAUCCUGGCUCAGAUUGAACGCUGGCGGCAUGCCUAACACAUGCAAGUCGAACGGAAACGAUGGGAGCUUGCUCCCAGGCGUCGAGUGGCGGACGGGUGAGUAAUACUUAGGAAUCUACCCAGUAGCGGGGGACAACUCGAGGAAACUCGAGCUAAUACCGCAUACGCCCUACGGGGGAAAGCAGGGGAUCUUCGGACCUUGCACUAUUGGAUGAGCCUAAGUCGGAUUAGCUUGUUGGUGAGGUAAAGGCUCACCAAGGCGACGAUCCGUAGCUGGUCUGAGAGGACGAUCAGCCACACUGGGACUGAGACACGGCCCAGACUCCUACGGGAGGCAGCAGUGGGGAAUAUUGGACAAUGGGGGCAACCCUGAUCCAGCAAUGCCGCGUGUGUGAAGAAGGCCUGCGGGUUGUAAAGCACUUUCAGUAGAGAAGAAAAGCCCACGGCUAAUACCCGUGAGUCUUGACGUUACCUACAGAAGAAGCUCCGGCUAACUCCGUGCCAGCAGCCGCGGUAAUACGGAGGGAGCGAGCGUUAAUCGGAAUUACUGGGCGUAAAGCGCGCGUAAGCGGCUUUGUAAGUCGGAUGUGAAAGCCCUGGGCUCACCCUGGGAAAGGGAUUCGAUACUGCCAAGCUAGAGUAUGGUAGAGGGAAGUGGAAUUUCCCGGGUACCGGUGAAAGCCGUAAAUACC